rnacentral:rRNA from 1 species
UGGGGAAUUUUGGACAAUGGGCGCAAGCCUGAUCCAGCCAUGCCGCGUGCGGGAAGAAGGCCUUCGGGUUGUAAACCGCUUUUGUCAGGGAAGAAAUCUUCUGAGUUAAUACCUCGGGAGGAUGACGGUACCUGAAGAAUAAGCACCGGCUAACUACGUGCCAGCAGCCGCGGUAAUACGUAGGGUGCAAGCGUUAAUCGGAAUUACUGGGCGUAAAGCGUGCGCAGGCGGUUUUGUAAGACAGAGGUGAAAUCCCCGGGCUCAACCUGGGAACUGCCUUUGUGACUGCAAGGCUUGAGUGCGGCAGAGGGGGGAUGGAAUUCCGCGUGUAGCAGUGAAAUGCGUAGAUAUGCGGAGGAACACCGAUGGCGAAGGCAAUCCCCUGGGCCUGCACUGACGCUCAUGCACGAAAGCGUGGGGAGCAAACAGGAUUAGAUACCCUGGUAGUCCACGCCCUAAACGAUGUCAACUGGUUGUUGGGAAGGUUCCUUCUCAGUAACGUAGCUAACGCGUGAAGUUGACCGCUGGGGAGUACGGCCGCAAGGUUGAAACUCAAAUGAAUUGACGGGGU